rnacentral:rRNA from 1 species
GAUGAACGCUGGCGGCGUGCCUAAUACAUGCAAGUCGAACGAGUUCUCGUUGAUGAUCGGUGCUUGCACCGAGAUUCAACAUAGAACGAGUGGCGGACGGGUGAGUAACACGUGGGUAACCUGCCCUUAAGUGGGGGAUAACAUUUGGAAACAGAUGCUAAUACCGCAUAGAUCCAAGAACCGCAUGGUUCUUGGCUGAAAGAUGGCGUAAGCUAUCGCUUUUGGAUGGACCCGCGGCGUAUUAGCUAGUUGGUGAGGUAAUGGCUCACCAAGGCGAUGAUACGUAGCCGAACUGAGAGGUUGAUCGGCCACAUUGGGACUGAGACACGGCCCAAACUCCUACGGGAGGCAGCAGUAGGGAAUCUUCCACAAUGGACGCAAGUCUGAUGGAGCAACGCCGCGUGAGUGAAGAAGGCUUUCGGGUCGUAAAACUCUGUUGUUGGAGAAGAAUGGUCGGCAGAGUAACUGUUGUCGGCGUGACGGUAUCCAACCAGAAAGCCACGGCUAACUACGUGCCAGCAGCCGCGGUAAUACGUAGGUGGCAAGCGUUAUCCGGAUUUAUUGGGCGUAAAGCGAGCGCAGGCGGUUUUUUAAGUCUGAUGUGAAAGCCCUCGGCUUAACCGAGGAAGCGCAUCGGAAACUGGGAAACUUGAGUGCAGAAGAGGACAGUGGAACUCCAUGUGUAGCGGUGAAAUGCGUAGAUAUAUGGAAGAACACCAGUGGCGAAGGCGGCUGUCUGGUCUGUAACUGACGCUGAGGCUCGAAAGCAUGGGUAGCGAACAGGAUUAGAUACCCUGGUAGUCCAUGCCGUAAACGAUGAAUGCAAGGGGUGUUGGAGGGUUUCCGCCCUUCAGUGCCGCAGCUAACGCAUUAAGCAUUCCGCCUGGGGAGUACGACCGCAAGGUUGAAACUCAAAGGAAUUGACGGGGGCCCGCACAAGCGGUGGAGCAUGUGGUUUAAUUCGAAGCAACGCGAAGAACCUUACCAGGUCUUGACAUCUUUUGAUCACCUGAGAGAUCAGGUUUCCCCUUCGGGGGCAAAAUGACAGGUGGUGCAUGGUUGUCGUCAGCUCGUGUCGUGAGAUGUUGGGUUAAGUCCCGCAACGAGCGCAACCCUUAUGACUAGUUGCCAGCAUUUAGUUGGGCACUCUAGUAAGACUGCCGGUGACAAACCGGAGGAAGGUGGGGAUGACGUCAAAUCAUCAUGCCCCUUAUGACCUGGGCUACACACGUGCUACAAUGGAUGGUACAACGAGUUGCGAGACCGCGAGGUCAAGCUAAUCUCUUAAAGCCAUUCUCAGUUCGGACUGUAGGCUGCAACUCGCCUACACGAAGUCGGAAUCGCUAGUAAUCGCGGAUCAGCACGCCGCGGUGAAUACGUUCCCGGGCCUUGUACACACCGCCCGUCACACCAUGAGAGUUUGUAACACCCGAAGCCGGUGGCGUAACCCUUUUAGGGAGCGAGCCGUCUAAGGUGGGACAAAUGAUUAGGGUG